UACGGAGGGUGCAAGCGUUAUCCGGAUUCACUGGGUUUAAAGGGUGCGUAGGUGGGUUGGUAAGUCAGUGGUGAAAUCCCCGAGCUUAACUUGGGAACUGCCAUUGAUACUAUCAGUCUUGAAUACCGUGGAGGUUAGCGGAAUAUGUCAUGUAGCGGUGAAAUGCUUAGAUAUGACAUAGAACACCAAUUGCGAAGGCAGCUCGCUACACAUAUAUUGACUCUGAGGCACGAAAGCGUGGGGAUCAAACAGG
rnacentral:rRNA from 1 species